UCGUCGCUCGCCCUCUCGCGGCUGCAAUGCUCAACUACAACAACACGGCAUUGGGCACAAAUGUAAAAGCCAUCCAGACUUUGUAUUUGUGUGCUCUUUGUAGUCUAUUUUUGCGAUGUGGAUUCAUUAGUCUCUUAGUCGUCACCCCUUGGUAGUGUUAUACGGAUGUUUGAAGUUCUUAAAUCAAGAUGGGAGGGGUCAUGUUUGCUGACGUAUACGGAAGCAGGAAGUGGCGGGCUCCAACUUCGGAAGGAUUCGGAACGACUUUUCGAGCUCGCUGCUGUGAUGGCGACCACGGCAAGUCCUGAGCGGACCCGGUCGGCGCUGUGGAGCAGAACGGUCCUUCUGCUGGUGCUGUCCGUCUUCCAGCGACCGAGUUGCGUGGUGUCGGAACCGGGAAAAUGGAUCCUGAACGUUGACAGCGACACUUUGAGGAAGCACAACCUCUUCGUUUUUUCUAAAACUCUUUUCAACAACAGUGUCAUCCAUCUCAAAUUGGCGGAGUGGCGCUGCGACGCAUCUUCCCCUGUGCACUUGAACGUGUCGUGGUACCUGAGGAGCUCUCACUGCUACGAUGAAGUCUUCGGCUUGGACGCGGCGCGAGCAGAAAGGUUCUUCAGGUUCCCCAAGGUGAAUCCGGGAGGAAGAAGUGGUUUCUAUGUCAUCCAUCAGUACCCGCUCAUCUCCUGCCAGCAACGCGUGGACCCCAACAUCUUUGGUGUGGAUGCCUUUGAAAUGAAAACGCCACUGGGUGAAUUGCAGCCGAUAACAGAGAAGUCCCCGGGCAGGAGGCGCAGAGAGGCGGAGCUUCCCAAAACAAAGCCGGCCGCCGGAGAAGCGGACGGGAACGCCACGAAGGCGGCGACUUCUGCAGCAGACGGUCGUCGCGCACAGGCUGCCGCCGCCGCCGCCGCCGCCGCCGCCGCACACCCUCACUUUGACGCAGUGGCCCAGAGCUGGGCGGACGCCCCGUACAUGUUCCUGCUCAGCAUCCAGGAGAUCAAAGAACGGAACCUGGCUCCCGCCCCGAGCUCCUGGAGCCUGCAGCUUCAAGUGAGCAUGCGAGGACCUCACGACUACAUGUCGGCGUCGGAAUGGCCGCUCAUGCUGUUCUACAUGCUGAUGUGCGUGCUGUACGUGCUGCUGGCGCUCUUGUGGCUGGUCAUGUCGGCGUGCUACUGGAGGGACCUGCUGAGGAUCCAGUUCUGGAUCGGAGGCGUCAUCUUCCUGGGGAUGCUGGAGAAAGCCGUUUACUACGGCGAGUUCCAGAGCAUCCGAUACGACGGCUUGUCCGUGCGCGGGGCGGCGGUGUUCGCCGAGGUCCUGUCGGCCGUCAAGCGGACGCUGGCCCGCGUCUUGGUCAUCAUCGCCAGCCUGGGAUACGGCAUCGUCAAGCCCAGGCUGGGCGCCUCGCUUCACCGCGUGGCGGCCGUCGCUCUGCUCUACCUGACCUUCUCGGCGGCGGAGGGCGUCCUACGAGUCAACGCCGAUCGGGGCGACAACACCGGCAGCAUUCUUCUGUGCGACGUGGUGCUGGCCUUCACCGACUCCUGCGUCAUCUGGUGGAUCUUUGUGAGUCUGGCCCAGACCACCAAGCUGCUCCGACUCCGCCGCAACACGGUCAAGCUUUCGCUCUACCGACACUUCACCAACACGCUCAUCUUCGCCGUCAUUGCAUCAGUCAUUUUCAUCGUUUGGACCACAAAGACCUUCAAGAUGGCCAAAUGUCAGUCUGACUGGCGCGAGCUUUGGAUCGAUGACGCUUUCUGGCGCUUCCUGUUCUCCGCCAUCCUCUUGGUCAUCAUGUUCCUGUGGCGACCGUCGGCCAACAACCAGAGGUACGCAUUCCGCCCUCUGGUGGAUGACGAGGAGGAGGAGGAGGAAGAGCUCAUGGUGAACGAAGCUUUUGAGGGCAUGAAGAUGAGAGGCGUGAAGAGCGACAGCAACGUUGCGGCCAGAGCCAACAAAGUGGUGGAUGAAGAUCUGAAAUGGGUGGAGGAGAACAUCCCCUCAUCCAUGGCUGACGCGAAAGCAAGAGCACCCAGUUGGAGAUGUCCAAGAUGGAGUGAGGGCAAGGGACGCCGCGGGGGAGACCACUUUCUGGCCUCCGUGGGACAAGCGCUCGCUCGCUCGGCUGGGCUCGGCCGGACUCGGCGCGGCUGCUUGAUGGGUGUCCAUUGUGGCUCUCUCACGUUUGCGUGUCAUUACGUAUAUGGUGUCCACCUCGUGUUGGCUGUUGCCACGGCAGCACACUGCACCGCACCACACAGCGUUUGGACUGGUGGAAGCCAUUUCUCUUGGCAAGCGCUGGCCAUUUCUUUUCUUGGCACUUUUGUGCAAUGGACCGACCGGCUGGCGAGUGGGCGGGCAGGCGGUACAAAGAACGUCCUCCGGCAUGCUCCAAAAGCCAACGUUACGUUUUAGGAAAGCUGCUUUUUUGUACACCAUUAAAAAGUCCUGACAUACUUUGCGUCAAACGCCGGUGCAUCAUGACUUUGUGGCGAGCGAGCGAGCGAGCGGAGCCGGCUUAGUUCACGGCUCCAAGCUUCUUUGGGAAGGAGAUCUUCCGACUGAGCAGGUCGCAAAAAGUCGCCCCAGCGGGCAAGAGGAGGAGCGGCAGCCCGGACGCCGAGUGGCUGCUCACCGGAGAGCGAGGACCACGCCAAUGCACUGCACGCCGAAGCCCUCGGUGACGUCUGCAGGGGGUGGCGAAAGCCGUGAGCGAGCGUCGCUGGCUGCCACGGUUACGUAAACGGAUGAGCUUAUCCAUACGUGGAUUAAUGAGCACCCAAUGGCGCCGUGGCCAACACCUCCCCCAAAGAACAGCACUCGGCACACGGCACGCUUGACUUACAGUGGAGCAACAAAAUAUGACCAACAUCAUCGUGCGUGUCAAUGACUGCAGAGGAACAAACAGUGACAGGAUACACUUUGACUUGGACAAAAUAAGACAGAGAAU